GCGGGAAUAGCUCAGUGGUAGAGUAUAACCUUGCCAAGGUUGGGGUCGCGAGUUCGAAUCUCGUUUCCCGCU
rnacentral:tRNA from 1 species